GCCAUCCACAGCCCUGGGGCUUAUGAAGAAGGGACACUGCGGACCAUGUGUUUCCAGUGGGGAACCUUGAUAGAAACAGGAUGUGAGACAGGAAGAUCAGAAGAUGUUGUCCAGUGUGACCAGCGCAACUUUCGGUUCCUCUGAGAUGUUGGAAGUUGCACUGAUGACCUCAGACACUGGGGACAGCCCAGGGUACAGGGAAGUGGAAAGGUCAAGUUUCUGCAGGGACCCUUUGGCAUCCUCUCCCUUUGCCUCGACCCAGAGAGCACCAGAAGGAAGGGAAGGGAUGGAGAAGGCAUGUCAUGGGAAGUGCUCCCCGCCCAACUCCAGCUUAGAAGUCCGACUCUCCAGAUGUUUGCCUGGAAUGUUCUCUUCUCUGGCUCAGGACAGAAAUUCCUGUGCAGUCUUCUCAGGUCAGAGGUCACUGAGAGGCCCUUCACCGUCUGACAUCUGCUGUGUGAGCCCACAGCACUGCCUGUUUCCCUCUGUGGCGGCACUCCUGAUGACAGGCACCAGGGACCAAGGCUUACACUGCCUCGGUUGUCCCAGUGCAAGGUAGAUCAUCAGCGUCCCCCUCUCCUCCCUCGCUAAGUCGCCUGCCCUAGCAUUUGACCUCGUUCUCUGUUGCUCAGCUAAAGCAGCAGCCCCUGACUGGGCCACGGAUGGGAUGCAAUAAAGGGAAUGGCCAUUCUGCAGUUCUGUCCCCCUUACCUAGCGCAGGACCUGGCAUGAUAAGUAAAUGAGGCCAGGGAGCUCCAAGGUCUAGAAUCAGCCUCCAGACGUCUUUCUUUAGUAUUUAAGACAACAAAUAUAUGUGACUUGCUGUGGUUUGGACAUGGGUUGAAUGUACAUGCCUCAGGCUCAUGUGUCAAGAACUUCAUCCCUGGUUUGGUGGUGCCGAGAGGUGGGGAGGCCUUUAAGAGGUAGAGGCUGGUGGGAGUUCUUAAGUCAUUGUGGGGUGGUUUUCUGCAGGGAUCAAGGUAGCUCUCUGUACCCUGAGCUUUUGUGAGUGUGAGAAAGGGAGCUGUUCGCAGAUGAAGCCCACCCUGAAACUCUCUGGCUUCCUGUGUGGCCAUCUUUCCCUCUCACAGAUGCUCAUGUCAAACAUGAGGUUCUCACCAGAGCCAGGCUAAUGUGGGGGUCACGCUCUUGAAUCUUCAGGACCGUAAGCUAAAUAAGCCUCUUUUCUUUAUAAAGGUAGCCUGCCUCCAGUUUUUCAUUAUAGUUAUGACCACAUUCCAGGCUUCCACCUCACUGCGGGCUGACACCCAUUUGCUUGAGUGCCCAGGUUGCUGGGUAUAGGCUUGGGAGCAGAAGCUGACAAACAUUGUCAGUAUGACCCAACAGAGAGAAAGAACCUUCUGGACCUUCAACCCUGCCAUCUCUGGGGUGAUUUCCACCUCUGCCGUGUUUUGGUCCUUGCCCGCCACUGGUGCUACUCUCGCAGCUGCCACAACAACCCUAGAGAGACACUAGUGGUCUGUGAAGAGAGAUUUCCAGAACGGUUUUCCAGGUAGUAAUUACCUGCAGGUGGUACUCAGGUAAAUUCAGGAGUAGGAAGUCAUUCAUACUAAUAAUAGUAAUUAAACCAGCAUCUUUUUCUUCAGGAAUUCAGGUAUUACAGGUUUGACAAGGAAGUAAAAAAUCCCAACCUGGAGGCCAAAUCCAGUGCUGAAACCCAGCACUGCCUGGCAGGAAAGAAGCCAAACAGAGGAGACUUCAGGAUAGAUCGUUGGGGAAGGAUGGGUCGCCAGGAGCAGUGGAGAUGGGCUGUAGGUCCAGACCAAAGCUUUCCAGCAUGUGAGCCCCUGACGCCCCACCACCCGAUGAGACAGAAGCCUCCUCCUGGAGAAGCUGAAAGAGCCAGGUGCUUGUCGUGCCAGACUUUCCAGAGAACACGUAGCCUCGGUGCAUGAGGCCCACGCCCUCAGAGACCAGUCUCCUUCCCACAGUGCCAGCAGCACAGGGAUGUACAGGCUCCUGCACCUCAGCCUCGUCAGAAUCCCGAGAACAGGACAAAGCCAGCUGGAGAGACUGGGCUGCAGCUCUGUCACCUCCUCCCAAGCCAUGGACCUCACACAGUGCGGUACACAUGUGCAUGUGGACAGGCCCAGAAGGCACCUCACACAGAGUCCGAGGAGCACAAUCUGGAAAGAAGGCGAAGCAGGACGAAGCUCUCCAACAGCAUUUCCAUCCUGGGUGGACAGACCAGCGCCCGUCCCUCGCACAUGCUGCAGGGAACCCCAUCCUCACGCUGGCCGUGAAGCCUGGGGCACCAUGGGCCUACCUGCACCUCUCCACAACCCCAGGAUGCCCAGCGACCAGGGGCUGGGCCUUAGCCGGCCCACAGCAGGUACUCAGUCCCAGAGCCCCCAGGGAAGGAGCAAGACGUGGUUACUAGGUUUUUCCUUUCAUCAUUUUUUGUUGCCCUUUGUGUUUUUACUAUAACAAGUGCCCACAGUCCUUCCCCUGCUGGAGGUUUGGGUACAUGUUUACUUCUCCAAACAGACUAGGUCUGGGUCCCUUUAACUCCCUCACAUCAUAGGCACGUGGUUGGCACGACAUCCAGCUUUUGAAUGAAGGAGCAUUUACUGAAUGGAAAGGUCAUGCAGAGAGGCCCCCGCCUCCUACAACAUGCUUGGGUAGUACGCUUGAACUGUGUGAUUGAGAAGGUUUAUUGAGAUAUAAAACACAUAAUGUACAGUUCCCAAUGGAAAGUAGACAGUUCAAAAGUUGUCAGUAUACAAUCCCCAGUACCAGCCAACCAACCAACAAAAACAUUGUCAGUAUAUUCACGGAGUUGUGCAAUCAUCACCAGAAUCAAAUUUAGAGCAUUUUGUCAACCCUGAAAGAAAACCCCAUGGUCAUUUUUUUUGCUUUUCUUUUUUUUUAUUGUAAACAAAUGGGAUACAUUUUGAUU